ACUGGGCAGAGGGAUCCUCCUCCUCUCAUCAACGAUGGAGGGAAAUAUCGCUGGUUACCCUCUCCCAGACUGCAAGGAGAAAUGAGGCAACAGCUCUGUACUCAGAAAAAGCAAAGACAACAAUGAGUGAAGCAAGAAGAUUUCCCUCCCCGCCGCUCGUGUUCUGGAUCCCGGUGCAGGGGUAUGUGAUAAAGCUGCUUUGCUUUUCUAGUAAAUGCCAGCCCUUCAUGACUAACUGGCUGGCUUCUUGGU